ACAACUCUAGAGAUAGAGCCUUCCCCUUCGGGGGACAAAGUGACAGGUGGUGCAUGGUUGUCGUCAGCUCGUGUCGUGAGAUGUUGGGUUAAGUCCCGCAACGAGCGCAACCCUUAAGCUUAGUUGCCAUCAUUAAGUUGGGCACUCUAAGUUGACUGCCGGUGACAAACCGGAGGAAGGUGGGGAUGACGUCAAAUCAUCAUGCCCCUUAUGAUUUGGGCUACACACGUGCUACAAUGGACAAUACAAAGGGCAGCGAAACCGCGAGGUCAAGCAAAUCCCAUAAAGUUGUUCUCAGUUCGGAUUGUAGUCUGCAACUCGACUACAUGAAGCUG
rnacentral:rRNA from 1 species